GAUGAACGCUGGCGGCGUGCCUAAUACAUGCAAGUCGAGCGAACGGACGAGAAGCUUGCUUCUCUGAUGUUAGCGGCGGACGGGUGAGUAACACGUGGAUAACCUACCUAUAAGACUGGGAUAACUUCGGGAAACCGGAGCUAAUACCGGAUAAUAUUUUGCACCGCAUGGUUCAAAAGUGAAAGACGGUCUUGCUGUCACUUAUAGAUGGAUCCGCGCUGCAUUAGCUAGUUGGUAAGGUAACGGCUUACCAAGGCAACGAUGCAUAGGCGGCCUGAGAGGGGGAUCGGCCACACUGGAACUGAGACACGGUCCAGACUCCUACGGGAGGCAGCAGUAGGGAAUCUUCCGCAAUGGGCGAAAGCCUGACGGAGCAACGCCGCGUGAGUGAUGAAGGUCUUCGGAUCGUAAAACUCUGUUAUUAGGGAAGAACAGAUGUGUAAGUAACUGUGCACAUCUUGACGGUAACUAAUCAGAAAGCCACGGCUAACUACGUG
rnacentral:rRNA from 1 species